rnacentral:rRNA from 1 species
CUGAGAGGGUGAUCGGCCACACUGGGACUGAGACACGGCCCAGACUCCUACGGGAGGCAGCAGUAGGGAAUCUUCGGCAAUGGGGGGAACCCUGACCGAGCAACGCCGCGUGAGUUAUGAAGGUUUUCGGAUCGUAAAGCUCUGUUGUUAAGGAAGAACGUGUGUGAGAGUGGAAAGUUCACACAGUGACGGUACUUAACCAGAAAGGGACGGCUAACUACGUGCCAGCAGCCGCGGUAAUACGUAGGUCCCGAGCGUUGUCCGGAUUUAUUGGGCGUAAAGCGAGCGCAGGCGGUUAGAUAAGUCUGAAGUGAAAGGCAGUGGCUCAACCAUUGUAGGCUUUGGAAACUGUUUAACUUGAGUGCAGAAGGGGAGAGUGGAAUUCCAUGUGUAGCGGUGAAAUGCGUAGAUAUAUGGAGGAACACCGGUGGCGAAAGCGGCUCUCUGGUCUGUAACUGACGCUGAGGCUCGAAAGCGUGGGGAGCGAACAGGAUUAGAUACCCUGGU